CUGCUCAAUGAAUAAUUUUAAAUAGCUGCAGUAUAAAUAACUGUACAAAGGUAGCAUAAUAAUUUGUUUUUUAAUUGAAAACUAGAAUGAAUGAUUAAAUGAAAUAUAAACUAUAUCAAAUUUAAAAAAUAAAUUUAUUAUUUAAAUAAAAAAAUUUAAAUAAUUUUUAAAGACGAGAAGACCCUAAAGAAUUUUAAUAAUAAAUUAUAAUAUUAUAUAAUAAUUUAUUAUAUUAAUUGGGGAAAUUUUAAAAUUUAAAAAAUUUUUAAUUAAAUAAACAUAAAUUUUUGAAUACUUAAAAUUUUUUUAAAAAAUUAAAUAAAAUUACCUUAGGGAUAACAGCAUAAUUUUUUUAAAAAG
rnacentral:rRNA from 1 species